GUGUUCCACCUGUGCUGGUUGCCAUCACGUUAGUGGGAAGGUUUUUUGCCUGCCCAGGUGCUCUUUAAGAGUAGCUGGCCCAGUCCUCUUGAGAGAUGUAGAGGGACCCUCCCUAUCUGAUUUCUAGAAAAAUAUUCCUUUGUCUGAUUUAGUUUUGUGCCACCUUUUUGGCAUUGAAAUAACCUGGUGGAGCUUGUGACCUCCUGUGGGAACUACAGCCAGUACCGCCAGCGUAUCUCAGAGAGCACGGGCUUUCGCUUCCCCAUCCUGGGAGUGCACCUCAAGGACCUGAUAGCAGUGCACGUGACCCUGCCCGACUGAAGCGACUGCGAGAAGACCCAGGUCAACCUGGCCAAGACCCAUCAGCUGUAUUCAAUCCUCCAGGAGCUAGCGCUGAUCCAGACCACACCACCCAGUGUUGAUGCCACCAUGGACCUGCUCAACCUGCUCAUGGUUUGGCCCAGAUGACUGAUACUGAAUGACUUGAUAGAUUUGUUUUACCGUCAGUGUUUAACAAUUCCACCACUGAUGAAGACGGCUACAUCUCUCAGGAGGAAAUUGAGAUCAUUAGGACCAACUUCCCAUACCUCUGCAAGUUUGAUGACCUGGACAAGAGUCACCUGUGGGGUGAGCUGUCACAAAGACUGUCGCAGCCGCCUUGCUGUUGAGUGCUGCAAACCAACAAAGAGUGCCAGUCACGAUCCUUCAGUGUGCCUGAUAUGGUUUAGCCCCUACACAUUCUACAUCACAGAGCCAUUGCAGAGGAAGCACCUGACUCUCUGGAGGAUGAAGUGUUUGAUGUCCACCUUUGAGAACAGUCUCACUUCGUCGGGCGUGGACUCCACAGGGAUGCUGGCCCAUGUUGACUCCAAUGCUUCCCACACUUUUGUGAAGUUUACUGGAUGUCGUUUGGGUGGCGGACCAUUCUACACAUAGGAAACUGUUGAAUGUGAAAAACCCAGCAGCGUUGCAGUUCUUGAUACACUGAAACCAGUGCGCCAGGCACCUACUCCCUUACCCCGUUCAAAGGCAUUUAAAUAUUUUGUUUUGCCCAUUCACCCUCUGAAUUGCACAUAUACACAAUACUUGUCUCAAAGCUUAUAAAUCCUUAUUUAACCUGUCUCCUCCCCUUAAUCUACACUGAUUGAAGUGAAUUUAACAGGUGACAUCAAUAAGGGAUCAUAGCUUUCACCUGGUCAGUCUGUCAUGGAAAGAACCUGUUCCUAAUGUUUUGUACACUGUGUAUGUCAACAUCUCCUAGUGUGAGCAAUGUUCCUGAUCAAAUGCUCUAUCUGCAAGUGUUUUGAUGUAGUCUCUAAACAAUUCCUAUCUAAAGUCAUCCUUUUUAGACUGCAUUUCUCUUUUUCCUGAAUUAAUUUUGUGGUCCACUUACUAGUUAAUUUUCACAUCAGAAUGAAGACCAACAUUGACGAGAACACAAACUUUUCCCAUGCUGCCAAGCUGAACUUAAAUGGGGACCGACAGCAAUGACACUCUGAAGAUAGAAAUGUAUUUGCUCCUGUUUGGAUAUACAAUGCACGCUAAGAACAUUGCAAUUUUCGGACUUUCUUAAGAAUGUCCACAUUUUCCCCAAAGUUUUAGAGCUAUUGAACCUGAGGAAGGAUUGUGUAACUAUAUGUUUACUUGCUAAUGAUAAUUUGAUGAUCCAGUCAAUACAUGUUGUGCUGAUUUGUGUAUUUGUUUUCUGAUGAAUUAAUCCUUCAUUCUCUCAGCCAUAGUAUUAUUUGCCCAGAGCUUUCACAGUAGGUAAACCUAGAGUAGAUGCAUAUCUCUGUAUGUGCUUGUAUACGGUUCAUGAUUGCUGAAGGUUGCUUCUCCGCAAGGUGGUGAGGUUUUGUGUCAACACUGGAUAGCAUAGGCUACCACUGGGAUUUAGCAUUCUGUAGUUCAUUCACAUUCCCUGUUUUUAGUGUAGCCCUAUGUUUGUGUAUAACAUGUGGGAGUGGAUUGUUGAUGACAAGUUAAAUUGAGGUUCUUUCCUCAGCUAGCCAACCAUGUUCAUGUUUGAUUACAUUGUAAUGUGGUACAAUUUAAAAGGCAGAAAGAUCUUCUAUGGUUCUAUAUCAUAGAAUAGAAACGGCAUCAUGCCCAACUACUUUGGAUUUUUUACUACUUGUGUACAUACAAUAUGCUGAGGACUUAUUUGUCUCGCUCUGUUACUCCCAAGUGAUGCUCCCAUGAGGGAAGGCAAUUAAUUUACUCUGAGCAGUGGUUUCUAGGAACUUCAAUACAUAGCUGAGACGAUUCUCUCCGGGAUUGUCACACUGUAAAAUGUGAUAACAGCACAAAUAUAGGCUACAUUUUAUACUUAAGCAAUAAGGUCCGAG
rnacentral:lncRNA from 1 species